rnacentral:rRNA from 1 species
AUAUAGGAAGAAAAUUCUAAGGCCAACGGGAGAAGGGUAGUUAAGGAACUCGGCAAGUUGACCCCGUAACUUAGGGAUAAGGGGUGCUCUCGAAAGAGAGCCGCAGAGAAUAGGCCCAGGCGACUGUUUAGCAAAAACACAGCUCUAUGCUAAAUCGAAAGAUGAUGUAUAUGGGGUGACACCUGCCCGGUGCCGGAAGGUUAAGAGGAGGAGCGAGAGCUCUGAAUUGAAGCCCCGGUAAACGGCGGCCGUAACAAUAACGGUCCUAAGGUAGCGAAAUUCCUUGUCAGGUAAGUUCUGACCCGCACGAAUGGUGUAACGAUCUGGGCACUGUCUCAACUACCCGCCCGGCGAAAUUGUAGUACCGGUGAAGAUGCCGGUUACCCGCGACUAGACGGAAAGACCCCAUGGAGCUUUACUGUAGCUUAAUGUUGAAUUUCGGUAUUUCAUGUACAGGAUAGGUGGGAGACUAAGAAGCAGGGGCGUCAGCUUCUGUGGAGUCAACCUUGGGAUACCACUCUUGAAGUGCUGGAAUUCUAACCUGCGGCCGUGAAUCCGGUCGGGGGACAUCGUUAGGUGGGCAGUUUGACUGGGGCGGUCGCCUCCCAAAGAGUAACGGAGGCGCUCAAAGGUUCGCUCAGCAUGGACGGAAACCAUGCUCUUGAGUGUAAACGCAAAAGCGAGCCUAACUGCGAGACUGACGGGUCGAGCAGUAACGAAAGUUGGAGUUAGUGAUCCGGCGGUAUGUGAGUGGAAAUGCCGUCGCUCAACGGAUAAAAGCUACCCUGGGGAUAACAGGCUGAUCUCCCCCAAGAGUCCACAUCGACGGGGAGGUUUGGCACCUCGAUGUCGGCUCAUCGCAUCCUGGGGCUGUAUUCGGUCCCAAGGGUUUGGCUGUUCGCCAAUUAAAGCGGUACGCGAGCUGGGUUCAGAACGUCGUGAGGCAGUUCGGUCCCUAUCUGUCGUGGGCGUAGGAUAUUUGAAAGGAGCUGUCCCUAGUACGAGAGGACCGGGAUGGACGCACCUCUGGUGCACCAGUUGUCACGCCAGUGGCACAGCUGGGCAGCUAAGUGCGGAUCGGAUAAACGCUGAAGGCAUCUAAGCGUGAAGCCGUCCUUAAGAUAAGAUAUCCCAUCAGGUCAACUGAGUAAGACCCCUCAAAGACUAUGAGGUUGAUAGGCCUAAGGUGUACGCAUGGUGACAUGUUCAGCCUGCAGGUACUAAUCGGUCGAGGGCUUGACCAA